rnacentral:rRNA from 1 species
AAGCCAUGCAUGUCUCAGUACAAGCCGAAUUAAGGUGAAACCGCGAAAGGCUCAUUAAAUCAGUUAUGGUUCCUUAGAUCGUACCCACAUUUACUUGGAUAACUGUGGUAAUUCUAGAGCUAAUACAUGCAAACAGAGCUCCGACCGGAGACGGAAGGAGCGCUUUUAUUAGAUCAAAACCAAUCGGCGGCGGGUUCGCCCGUUCGUCGUGCAACUUGGUGAAUCUGAAUAACUUUCUGCUGAUCGCAUGGUCUCGCACCGGCGACGCAUCUUUCAAAUGUCUGCCUUAUCAACUGUCGAUGGUAGGUUCUGCGCCUACCAUGGUUGUAACGGGUAACGGGGAAUCAGGGUUCGAUUCCGGAGAGGGAGCCUGAGAAACGGCUACCACAUCCAAGGAAGGCAGCAGGCGCGCAAAUUACCCACUCCCGGCACGGGGAGGUAGUGACGAAAAAUAACGAUACGGGACUCAUCCGAGGCCCCGUAAUCGGAAUGAGUACACUCUAAACCCUUUAACGAGGAUCAAUUGGAGGGCAAGUCUGGUGCCAGCAGCCGCGGUAAUUCCAGCUCCAAUAGCGUAUAUUAAAGUUGUUGCGGUUAAAAAGCUCGUAGUCGAAUCUGUGUCCCGCGCCGCCGGUUCAUCGCUCGCGGUGUUUAACUGGCGUGUCCGCGGGACGUCCUGCCGGUGGGCUUAGCCCCCCAAAGGGCGGCCCAACUUCAAAUCCCACCGCGGUGCUCUUCACUGAGUGUCGAGGUGGGCCGGCACGUUUACUUUGAACAAAUUAGAGUGCUUAAAGCAGGCUAAAACUUUGCCUGAAUACUGUGUGCAUGGAAUAAUGGAAUAGGACCUCGGUUCUAUUUUGUUGGUUUUCGGAACCCCGAGGUAAUGAUUAAUAGGAACGGAUGGGGGCAUUCGUAUUGCGACGUUAGAGGUGAAAUUCUUGGAUCGUCGCAAGACGGACAGAAGCGAAAGCAUUUGCCAAAAACGCUUUCAUUGAUCAAGAACGAAAGUUAGAGGUUCGAAGGCGAUCAGAUACCGCCCUAGUUCUAACCAUAAACGAUGCCAGCUAGCGAUCCGCCGAAGUUCCUCCGAUGACUCGGCGGGCAGCUUCCGGGAAACCAAAGCUUUUGGGUUCCGGGGGAAGUAUGGU